GCAUAUCAAUAAGCGGAGGAAAAAGAAAACCAACAGGGAUUGCCCUUAGUAACGGCGAAGUGAAGCGGCAACAGCUCAAAUUUGAAAUCUGGCUCUUUCAGAGUCCGAGUUGUAAUUUGCAGAGGGCGCUUUGGCUUUGGCAGCGGUCCAAGUUCCUUGGAACAGGACGUCACAGAGGGUGAGAAUCCCGUACGUGGUCGCUAGCUAUUGCCGUGUAAAGCCCCUUCGACGAGUCGAGUUGUUUGGGAAUGCAGCUCUAAAUGGGAGGUAAAUUUCUUCUAAAGCUAAAUAUUGGCCAGAGACCGAUAGCGCACAAGUAGAGUGAUCGAAAGAUGAAAAGCACUUUGGAAAGAGAGUCAAACAGCACGUGAAAUUGUUGAAAGGGAAGCGCUUGCAGCCAGACUUGCUUGCAGUUGCUCAUCCGGGCUUUUGCCCGGUGCACUCUUCUGCAGGCAGGCCAGCAUCAGUUUGGGCGGUGGGAUAAAGGUCUCUGUCACGUACCUCUCUUCGGGGAGGCCUUAUAGGGGAGACGACAUACCACCAGCCUGGACUGAGGUCCGCGCAUCUGCUAGGAUGCUGGCGUAAUGGCUGUAAGCGGCCCGUCUUGAAACACGGACCAAGGAGUCUAACAUCUAUGCGAGUGUUUGGGUGUCAAGCCCGAGCGCGUAAUGAAAGUGAACGGAGGUGGGAACCCGCAAGGGCGCACCAUCGACCGAUCCUGAAGUUUACGGAAGGAUUUGAGUAAGAGCAUGGCUGUUGGGACCCGAAAGAUGGUGAACUAUGCUUGAAUAGGGUGAAGCCAGAGGAAACUCUGGUGGAGGCUCGCAGCGGUUCUGACGUGCAAAUCGAUCGUCAAAUUUGGGCAUAGGGGCGAAAGACUAAUCGAACUAUCUAGUAGCUGGGUCUGCG
rnacentral:rRNA from 1 species